UUUGUAAACUGUCAUGGCGCUGGUGGGAGUACAGCAGUGAGGAGGACCUGAAGUCACUUUUGUCACCAUCUUGGUUUUGGUGGGUUUUGGCUGGCUUCUUUACUGCAUCCUGUCUUGUCAGCAGGUUCUGUAUGACUUGUGUCUUCUGAUACUG